rnacentral:rRNA from 1 species
GACGAACGCUGGCGGCGUGCCUAAUACAUGCAAGUAGAACGCUGAAGGAGGAGCUUGCUUCUCUGGAUGAGUUGCGAACGGGUGAGUAACGCGUAGGUAACCUGCCUGGUAGCGGGGGAUAACUAUUGGAAACGAUAGCUAAUACCGCAUAAUAGUAGAUGUUGCAUGACAUUUGCUUAAAAGGUGCAAUUGCAUCACUACCAGAUGGACCUGCGUUGUAUUAGCUAGUUGGUGGGGUAACGGCUCACCAAGGCGACGAUACAUAGCCGACCUGAGAGGGUGAUCGGCCACACUGGGACUGAGACACGGCCCAGACUCCUACGGGAGGCAGCAGUAGGGAAUCUUCGGCAAUGGACGGAAGUCUGACCGAGCAACGCCGCGUGAGUGAAGAAGGUUUUCGGAUCGUAAAGCUCUGUUGUAAGAGAAGAACGAGUGUGAGAGUGGAAAGUUCACACU